ACUCCUACGGGAGGCAGCAGUCGGGAAUAUUGGACAAUGGGCGAAAGCCUGAUCCAGCAAUACCGCGUGUGUGAAGAAGGCCUGCGGGUUGUAAAGCACUUUCAGUUGGGAAGAUAAUGACGUUACCAACAGAAGAAGCACCGGCUAACUCCGUGCCAGCAGCCGCGGUAAUACGGAGGGUGCAAGCGUUAAUCGGAAUUACUGGGCGUAAAGCGCACGUAGGCGGUUUACUAAGUCGGAUGUGAAAUCCCGGGCUCAAGCUGGAACUGCACCCGAUACUCGGUAGACUAGAAUUUGGGAGAGGUGAGUGGAAUUUCCGGUGUAGCGGUGAAAUGCAUAGAGAUCGGAAGGAACACCAGUGGCGAAGGCGACUCACUGGACCAAAAUUGACGCUGAGGUGCGAAAGCGUGGGUAGCAAACAGGAUUAGAUACCCUGGUAGCUACGAG
rnacentral:rRNA from 1 species